rnacentral:rRNA from 1 species
UACAGAGGUCCCAAGCGUUGUUCGGAUUCACUGGGCGUAAAGGGUGCGUGGGCGGUCGGGUAAGUCUGAUGUGAAAUCUCACAGCUUAACUGUGAAACUGCAUUGGAUACUAUCCGGCUUGAGGAAUGGAGGGGAGACUGGAAUACUUGGUGUAGCAGUGAAAUGCGUAGAUAUCAAGUGGAACACCAGUGGCGAAGGCGAGUCUCUGGACAUUUCCUGACGCUGAGGCACGAAAGCCAGGGGAGCAAACGGG